GACGAACGCUGGCGGCGUGCUUAACACAUGCAAGUCGAACGGAAAGGCCCUGCUUUUGUGGGGUGCUCGAGUGGCGAACGGGUGAGUAACACGUGAGUAACCUGCCCUUGACUUUGGGAUAACUUCAGGAAACUGGGGCUAAUACCGGAUAGGAGCUCCUGCUGCAUGGUGUGGGUUGGAAAGUUUCGGCGGUUGGGUAUGGACUCGCGGCUUAUCAGCUUGUUGGUGGGGUAGUGGCUUACCAAGGCUUUGAAGGGUAGCCGGCCUGAGAGGGUGAACGGCCACAUUGGGCCUGCGAUACGGACCAGACUCCUACGGGAGGCAGCAGUGGGGAAUAUUGCACAAUGGGCGGAAGCCUGAUGCAGCAACGCCGCGUGCGGGAUGACGGCCUUCGGGUUGUAAACCGCUUUCGCCUGUGACGAAGCGUGAGUGACGGUAAUGGGUAAAGAAGCACCGGCUAACUACGUG
rnacentral:rRNA from 1 species